CUGAGACCUGUCACUGGAAGCCUAACAUUACCCAGUGACAUAUAGACCUAUAGUCCAAAGUGAAUUAUCCUAAUAAUAUCACACAUUCAUGCAUACAGCAGUCUGUUAGCUUUUCAUAGCGUGACCUUGAAAUCAAAAUAUGACUUUAACUUUAUUAUACAUGGCUUCACUUUGAGGACACUGAGGAUCUGAAGAGAAGACUGUGGUGAGUUAGCAAGCAAAUGCAGGCCAUCUAAGGAUAAGCUUCAUAAAUGCACUUCUUUCCUGUCUUGUUGGUAUUUUGGUUUUGGAAGGUCAGGGUUUAAUUUGAUAUGUUUGAAUGGCCCUAGUACAAAUUUCAAGCAACCUAUUACUGCACCAUUCAUUAUGUGAUAACUUUUUUCAUCAUAUUUUUAAACUCAGUAAAUGUCUUAUUCAAAUAUGUAUUCGAUUUUAAUAUUGAGCAUGAGUUCAUAAUAAUAAUAAUAAUAAUAAUAAUAAAGUUUUUAAUAUGCUCCCUUGCUUUAGAGUCCUUUUUCUGUUAUAAAAUCCAAUUGUGUGUGUGUGUGUGUGUGUGUGUGCAACAUAUAGAGCAUAUACACACAGAGAAAAUGCAUAUAGAAAAUAUUCAUCUGCAUGCUGAUGCAAAGUAUGACUGCUUCACUUCAUAUUUAAAGGUAGAUAAACAAACAGUACUUCAUGACAGAUAUAUUAACCAUGUUGUGUGUGUGUGUGUGUGUGUGUGUGUGUGAGUGAGAGUGAGAGAGAGAGAAAGACAGAAAGACUAUGAUAAGAUGAGAGUUGACAACCCUGCAGGACUCAUAUGCAGCUUCAGGGUCCCUGGUGCUCUAGCGGCUAAGGUUCCUGCACUCUUACCAACAUGGCCCUGGUUUGAAAGGGAACCAACACAGCCACUGGGAAUACACUCUCAGUGCCAGUCCCAGGCCUGGAUAAAAUGGGAGAGUUGAAUCAGGAAGGGCAUCCGGUGUAAAACCUGUGCCAAAUCAAUCAUGCGGACUAAUGAUCCGCUGUGGCAACCCUUAACGGGAGCAGCCAGAAGAGUUAAUGAUGGGGUUGCCAGAUUGUGCUAGUUUAAAAAUUCUCCAGGACAGGCAAGAUCUUGUUGGAUAGAAAACCUAAACAAUUUCCAAAAAAAGGCCCACGUGUCUCUGAUGUACAAACCAUUUCUACUGUAAGGUAUAUGGCAAAUAUGUGUGAAGUACUUGUUUCCCCUUUACAUGUCUCUCCUUUACAAUGCUCAAUUUUUCUGGGCUAGUUUUAGGUCUUUUGUGUGUUUUUGAGAUGUGGUUAACGCUGCUGAAUGAUAUUAUCUUGAACAAUGGUAUGUCUAAACCUGCUUAAAAAGAGCUGCUAGAAUGAUGUGCUGUGCUAAAAAGGUUGUGCUGUGCUAGAAUGAUGUGCUGUGCUAGAAUGAUGUGCUGUGCUAGAAUGAUGUGCUGUGCUAGAAUGACGGACGUUAUAAAGUUUCAAAUGCCUAUUACGGGGUUACUCUAAAAAUUCACUAGAUAAGUGAAGUGUGAUUGCCUCAUGACUUAAUUUUGCUUGAGGCUACGCUGUUAUUAAUGUCAGCCUGCCUUGAUAUGGUCACGAGCCGCAGUGGUCAAAUAUUUUAGAAAAUAGAAACAAGUAAAUUCGUUGGGGGGAAAAAAAUUACAUCCAGUAUAAGAAUUAAAGAUGAGAAAAUAUCUGAGAUUAGGAAUAUGAUUAUAAUUAGGAUUAUUGGUUUACAGGCAUUGAUUCAGCUGUCAGUGUCUGGUUUGAAGUUAUCUUUUUCUUGCCACUUGUAAGUGCUUUAUUUCUUAAAUGUAUUCAUUAAAUUUCAUUCAGUUGUUCA